UGGGGAAUUUUGGACAAUGGGGGAAACCCUGAUCCAGCCAUCCCGCGUGUGCGAUGAAGGCCUUCGGGUUGUAAAGCACUUUUGGCAGGAAAGAAACGUCAUGGGUUAAUACCCCGUGAAACUGACGGUACCUGCAGAAUAAGCACCGGCUAACUACGUGCCAGCAGCCGCGGUAAUACGUAGGGUGCAAGCGUUAAUCGGAAUUACUGGGCGUAAAGCGUGCGCAGGCGGUUCGGAAAGAAAGAUGUGAAAUCCCAGAGCUCAACUUUGGAACUGCAUUUUUAACUACCGGGCUAGAGUGUGUCAGAGGGAGGUGGAAUUCCGCGUGUAGCAGUGAAAUGCGUAGAUAUGCGGAGGAACACCGAUGGCGAAGGCAGCCUCCUGGGAUAACACUGACGCUCAUGCACGAAAGCGUGGGGAGCAAACCGG
rnacentral:rRNA from 1 species